rnacentral:siRNA from 1 species
UAUCCCUACAUAGCGGAUGGGACC